rnacentral:rRNA from 1 species
GAUGAACGCUGGCGGCGUGCUUAACACAUGCAAGUCGAACGAUGAAGCCCAGCUUGCUGGGUGGAUUAGUGGCGAACGGGUGAGUAACACGUGAGUAACCUGCCCUUAACUCUGGGAUAAGCCUGGGAAACUGGGUCUAAUACCGGAUAGGAGCGUCCACCGCAUGGUGGGUGUUGGAAAGAUUUAUCGGUUUUGGAUGGACUCGCGGCCUAUCAGCUUGUUGGUGAGGUAAUGGCUCACCAAGGCGACGACGGGUAGCCGGCCUGAGAGGGUGACCGGCCACACUGGGACUGAGACACGGCCCAGACUCCUACGGGAGGCAGCAGUGGGGAAUAUUGCACAAUGGGCGCAAGCCUGAUGCAGCGACGCCGCGUGAGGGAUGACGGCCUUCGGGUUGUAAACCUCUUUCAGUAGGGAAGAAGCGAAAGUUACGGUACCUGCAGAAGAAGCACCGGCUAACUACGUG